rnacentral:lncRNA from 1 species
CAGACAUGGGGUUUAUCACCUGUAUGGAUUCUCAUAUGUUUCUGUAAAACACCAUGUUGACUAAACCGUUUAUCACAUAAUUCACAGUUAUACGGUUUAUCACCUGUAUGUAUUCUCAUGUGACUUUGUAAAUGACCAUGCUGACUAAACAGUUUACCACAUAUAUCACAAUUAUGAGGUUUCACAUCUGUGUGUAUUAUCAUGUGUCUCUGUAAAUACACAAUGAGACUAAACACUUUACCACAUACAUCACACUCAUGAUGUUUAUCACCAGAAUGUGUUGUCAUAUGUCUGUGUAAACUGGAAAGUUGACUAAACCCUUUUCCACAUUCACAACAGUCAUAAGGUUUCUCCCCUGUAUGUGUUCUCAUGUGAAUCUGUAAUAGUCCAAGCCUACUAAAUCCUUUACCACAUACAUCACAGACAGUAUGUUUUUCGGUUGUAUGUGUUCUCAUGUGAUCCCGUAAAUUGCUAGUAUGACUAAACCCUUUACCGCAUAUAUCACAAUUAUGAGGUUUAUCUUCAAUAUGUAUAUACAUGUGUCUUUUUAUGCUACUACCUCUAGACAUUUCUUUCCCACAAACUCCACAUGUAUAAGGUUUUUCGCCCGUGUGUAUUCUUAGGUGUUUCUUUAAGUCACUUUUUCUACUAAAUUCUCUCAAACAAACCUCACAUUUAUGAAGUAUAGUAUCAAUCUGUGUGUUUAUGUGUCUCUGUAGAUUACCAUUGAGUGUGACUAAAUCCUCUCCUCCCUCUAACAUCUUAUUUUUGAUAUAAAUGUUUAUCUCCAGAAUGUGCGUUCUUGUAAGGCU